UACGUAGGGUGCAAGCGUUGUCCGGAAUUAUUGGGUGUAAAGAGCUCGUAGGCGGUUUGUCGCGUCUGCCGUGAAAGUCCGGGGCUCAACUCCGGAUCUGCGGUGGGUACGGGCAGACUAGAGUGAUGUAGGGGAGACUGGAAUUCCUGGUGUAGCGGUGAAAUGCGCAGAUAUCAGGAGGAACACCGAUGGCGAAGGCAGGUCUCUGGGCAUUAACUGACGCUGAGGAGCGAAAGCAUGGGGAGCGAACAGG
rnacentral:rRNA from 1 species